ensembl:snoRNA small nucleolar RNA SNORA3/SNORA45 family
GGCGAGGCUAGAGUCACACCUGGAUAUGACCCGUUGUCUCGGUGUGCUAUAGCGCUCGUAGAGGAAACAUCUGAGUUUAUUCAUUGGCUGUAGUCUCCCCCGUGACCCAGCCAAUCACCGACUCUGAAACACCA